CUUUUAGUAAGUGGGAUUUUCAGGCUGCUGGCAAAUUUCAGGGGUGUUUUCCAGUGAGGGUGCUGUCCACACAAGAGCAGGUUCAAUUUCCAAUGUACCCGGCACCUGCAGAUCUUAAUACAAAACCAAACAAAGAAAGGGAGCAAGGGGGAGAGGAAGAGAGAUAUGUGUUCCUGGAGAUUCUUGGAUCAAUAGAACAUUUUCCUGCUAAUCCCACCACCUGGGCCUCUGAACGACUUGUCGAAAAAGCCAUUAGGAUGUUGUGGAGAAGGGCCCCCAGAUGAGCAGAGCCAGGACUUACUGCAGGAAACAUAUACUCACUUUCUGCCUCAUGCCGCCGCUUGGGGACAAAUUAAAAGACCAGAUUGAUUAAAAACAGUAUAAGAC